rnacentral:rRNA from 1 species
GACGGACGUUGGCGGCGUGCUUAAUACAUGCAAGUCAACUGAAGCAGUGGUAGCAAUAUCGCUGUGGAGGUGGCGCACGGGUGAGUAACACGUAGGUAAUCUGCCUUCAGGUCUGGCAUAACUCCGGGAAACCGGGGCUAAUAGCAGAUGAUGCAGCGGCUCGACAUCGAGACAGUUGUUAAAGCUAUGGCGCCUGAAGAUGAGCCUGCGUCUGAUUAGCUAGUUGGCGGGGUAACGGCCCACCAAGGCAACGAUCAGUAGCUGGUCUGAGAGGAUGAUCAGCCACACUGGAACUGAGACACGGUCCAGACUCCUACGGGAGGCAGCAGUAAGGAAUAUUGCUCAAUGGGAGAAAUCCUGAAGCAGCAACGCCGCGUGAGGGACGAAGGGCUUUGGCUUGUAAACCUCUGUAGUGAGAGAAAAAAAUCCCAAUCUUUGGGACAUGAUGGUAUCUCAAAAGUAAGCCCCGGCUAACUACGUG